rnacentral:rRNA from 1 species
CCUACGGGAGGCAGCAGUGGGGAAUAUUGGGCAAUGGGCGCAAGCCUGACCCAGCAACGCCGCGUGAAGGAAGAAGGCUUUCGGGUUGUAAACUUCUUUUCUCAGGGACGAAGCAAGUGACGGUACCUGAGGAAUAAGCCACGGCUACCUACGUGCCAGCAGCCGCGGUAAUACGUAGGUGGCAAGCGUUAACCGGAUUUACUGGGGGUAAAGGGCGUGUAGGCGGGACUGCAAGUCAGCUGUGAAAACCACGGGCGCAACCUGUGGCGUGCAUUUGAAAAUGUAGUUCUUGAGUACUGGAGAGGCAGACGGAAUUCCUAGUGUAGCGGUGAAAUGCGUAGAUAUUAGGAGGAACACCAGUUGCGAAGGCGGUCUGCUGGACAGCAACUGACGCUGAGGCGCGAAAGCGUGGGGAGCAAACAGGAUUAGAUACCCCGGUAGUC